rnacentral:snRNA from 1 species
GCUUCUUAAACUUAUGAGUAAGGAAAAUAACGUUUUGGGGUGAUGUCCGAAUCCUCGCUGCUAAUGUGGGAUGAAUUUUUGAGCAGGUAAAGGUUGCCCCUAAGGUGACCCACCUACUUUGUGGGAUGCCUGAGAGUCACCAUCUGCCCA